rnacentral:rRNA from 1 species
UACGAAGGGGGCUAGCGUUGCUCGGAAUCACUGGGCGUAAAGCGCACGUAGGCGGCUUUUUAAGUCAGGGGUGAAAUCCUGGAGCUCAACUCCAGAACUGCCUUUGAUACUGAGAAGCUCGAGUCCGGGAGAGGUGAGUGGAACUGCGAGUGUAGAGGUGAAAUUCGUAGAUAUCGGGAGGAACACCGGUGGCGAAGGCGGCGACCUGGGACAAUACUGACGCUGAGGUGCGAAAGCGUGGGGAGCAAACAGG